UGUAUAAACCAUAAAUAUAAGGAAAAACGAAAAGCAGUUAUGUUUCCACUCCACUUCUGACGAAGCAUAUUGGGAAGAAAAGUUUAAAUCUUCAGAAUGCGGAACGUUUGGAACAAGAACAAUUAGUCGAAAAUAGUGACUCAAUCGAAUCAAAAUUUCUACUUUUUAUAAGCCUCUGAAUCAUCUUUUAAUAUAAAAUCGAAACGAGAAAACGCAAGGUGUAUAGAUAAUCUUGGUUCAAGCCGAAAAUGUAGAGUGAUAAUUUUUGAUGCGAUACUUGGUUCUCAAGAAACUCGACGAUGAAGUUUCGAAGUUCAAGCGCUUCGGUUACCAAUGAUCAACGUGACGUCACAGGAGAAACCGUGGCCAGCCAGUCGUAUAUGACCAACGUGGCAGUCAAAGUGCUAAUCUUUACGGUACAUAAAAAUAUGUUGUAAAAAUUUAUGAAGAUACUUCUUGUUUAGAGCAAAAUGAAUAUGACGAAAGAAAAUCGCACGCCACAAAACAUUAAAGUUGAAUAUAGACGAGCGAAUGUUUCUGGUACAUUAUGUUGGUGCAAUGUACUUGAUAAAAUAACGUUCAUCGUUAUACAAUGUAUGUACAUAUAAAUAUACGUAUGCAAGUCGAUCCAACCAUCG
rnacentral:misc_RNA from 1 species